UACGAAGGGGGCUAGCGUUGUUCGGAUUUACUGGGCGUAAAGCGCACGUAGGCGGAUCGUUAAGUCGGGGGUGAAAUCCUGGAGCUCAACUCCAGAACUGCCUUCGAUACUGGCGAUCUUGAGUCCGGAAGAGGUGAGUGGAACUCCUAGUGUAGAGGUGGAAUUCGUAGAUAUUAGGAAGAACACCAGUGGCGAAAGGCGGCU
rnacentral:rRNA from 1 species